CACGUGCUUCGGGGUCGGUGUAAUUCCGAACCGGUGGUGAUAGUCCACGACCCGUCACGCUGCGCAAGCAGGGCGACGGUUGAUCUGGUGAAACUCCAGGACCGACGGUGAAAGUCCGGAUGGGAGAAGUUCACG
rnacentral:ncRNA from 2 species